rnacentral:rRNA from 1 species
UCCCGUGGCCAUACCGGAGGGGUCACACCCGUUCCCAUUCCGAACACGGAAGUUAAGCCUUCCAGGGCCGAUGGUACUGCAUGGGCAACUGUGUGGGAGAGUAGGACGUCGCGGGAU